AUUGAACGCUGGCGGCAGGCCUAACACAUGCAAGUCGAGCGAGCGGCGGACGGGUGAGUAAUGUAUGGGGAUCUGCGCGACAGAGGGGGAUAACGACUGUAAACGGUGGCUAAUAGCGCAUACGAUCGGAUGAACUCACAGUGGAUUAGCUAGUAGGUGUGGCAAAGGCUCACCAAGGCGACGAUGUCUAGCUGGUCUGAGAGGAUGAUCAGCCACACUGGGACUGAGACACGGCCCAGACUCCUACGGGAGGCAGCAGUGGGGAAUAUUGGACAAUGGGCGCAAGCCUGAUGCAGCCAUGCCGCGUGUAUGAAGAAGGCCUUAGGGUUGUAAAUUCCUUUCAGCGGGGAGGCGUUACCCACAGAGGAAGCACCGGCUAACUCCGUGCCAGCAGCCGCGGUAAUUC
rnacentral:rRNA from 1 species